AUAACCAAAAUCAUAAUAAGGUAGGCUUCCACGAAACUUCGCUGCAUCCUCCUCUGUUAUUCCAAUACCAUGAUCUGCUCUUUCACAAUCACUCCCUCCUCCACCAAUCAUCAUCACUGCACCAUCACCACCAUCCCAAUUAUGUUACUUAAGUUUCCACACGGGUUCGGUGUAUUACUUAUAUUUAUUUCGUACGUUUUCCUCGUAUUUUACAACGCUUUUUCGAUAACUCUGAAAACUA